UACGUAGGGUGCAGGCGUUAAUCGGAAUUACUGGGCGUAAAGCGUGCGCAGGCGGUCUAUUAAGACAGGUGUGAAAUCCCCGGGCUUAACCUGGGAACUGCGCUUGUAACUGAUAGGCUUGAGUGCGGCAGAGGGGGGUGGAAUUCCAGGUGUAGCAGUGAAAUGCGUAGAUAUCUGGAGGAACACCGAUGGCGAAGGCAGCCCCCUGGGCUAACACUGACGCUCAUGCACGAAAGCGUGGGGAGCAAACAGG
rnacentral:rRNA from 1 species